UACAGAGGGGGCUAGCGUUGCUCGGAAUCACUGGGCGUAAAGGGUGCGUAGGCGGGUUUUUAAGUCAGGGGUGAAAUCCUGGAGCUCAACUCCAGAACUGCCUUUGAUACUGAAGAUCUUGAGUUCGGGAGAGGUGAGUGGAACUGCGAGUGUAGAGGUGAAAUUCGUAGAUAUUCGCAAGAACACCAGUGGCGAAGGCGGCUCACUGGCCCGAUACUGACGCUGAGGCACGAAAGCGUGGGGAGCAAACAGG
rnacentral:rRNA from 1 species